UUCUCUUCUAAAACUCCACAAAUCCCUCUCCAACCGGACCACGGCAUGCCAUUUUUUUCUGGUACCAUCUAACCUUUCCUCUUCUGUGAAGUUAAAACCCCAUCCAAAACCUCUUUCUUGCAUAGUGCAGACAAUGCUUUUCUGCUUCAUUUCAAAAAAUGGCUCUCUCUUCUAAAACUCCACAAGUCCCUCUCGAACCAGACCACCAAAACCUUAGUUCCCACAAGCCUCGAAACCGCAACCUCAACAAGACCUUAACUUUAUCUUCCAAACCCCAGAAAUCCCAUCUUCUCUCUACGCUAAGACCACUCCAAAGCUCACUCACUACUAUCACUUCAAUCACCCCGCAAAACCCAUCGAGCUCACGCUUAUUUCAGCUAUGCCUCAAUGGGAACCUGGAGCAAGCUCUAAAACACCUUAAAUCUAUGCAAGAAUUGAAAAUUUCAGUAGAAGAGGAAAGUUUUGUUGCUUUGACGAGGUUAUGUGAGAACAAGAGAGCGUAUAAAGAGGGUGAUUAUGUGUAUAAAGCUGUGCUAAAUUCAUUGGUUGCCCCAUUGGGCGUUAGGCUUGGAAAUGCACUGUUGAGUAUGUUUGUGAGGUUUGGUGAUUUGGGUAACGCGUGGAACGUGUUUGGGAGAAUGAGUGAGAGAGAUUUGUUUUCAUGGAAUGUUUUGGUUGGUGGGUAUGCAAAAGCAGGGUUUUUUGAUGAGGCUUUGUGUUUGUAUCAUAGGAUGUUGUGGGAUUGUAUAAGGCCUGAUAUGUAUACUUUUCCUUGUGUUUUGAGGAGCUGUGGCGGGGCACAUGAUUUCGUAAGAGGAAGGGAAAUUCAUGGUCAUGUGAUUAGAUUUGGGUUUGAGACGGAUGUUAGUGCGGUUAAUGCUUUAAUCACAAUGUAUGUAAAAUGUGGCCAUGUUGGCUCAGCACGCUUGUUGUUUGAUAAAAUGCCCCACAGAGAUAUAAUUUCUUGGAAUGCAAUGAUUUCGGGGUAUUUUGAGAAUGGGGAGUGUAUAGAAGGGUUAAAUUUGUUUUUCUCGAUGCUUGAGCUUUCAAUUGAUCCGGAUUUGAUGACCAUGACUAGUGUGAUCUCUGCAUGUGAGCUUCUUGGUGAAGAUAAAUUGGGGAGACAAAUUCAUGGGUAUGCGAUGAAAACAGAGAAUGGAAAUGAUGUUUCAGUGUGUGCUUCGUUGAUCCAAAUGUAUUCAAGUCUUGGGUAUUGGAAGGAAGCAGAAAAAGUGUUUUCGGGAAUGGAAUCUGGAGAUGUUGUAUCAUGGACUGCAAUGAUUUCAGGCUAUGAGGACAAUUUGCUGCAUGAGAAGGCAUUGGAAACUUACAAAACCAUGGAAUUAGAGGGUAUUAUGCCUGAUGAGAUCACAAUAGCCUGUGUUCUAUCUGCUUGUGCUUGUUUAGGGCAAUUAGAUAUGGGUGUGAAGCUUCAUGAGAUUGCUGACAGGACCGGACUAAUAUCAUAUGUUAUUGUUGCAAACUCGCUCAUUGAUAUGUAUUCAAAGUGCAAAUGCAUUGAUAAAGCUUUGGAAGUCUUCCAUGGCAUCCCAGACAAGAAUGUGAUAUCCUGGACUUCGAUCAUUGUUGGGCUUCGAAUAAACAAUCAGAGCUUUGAGGCUUUGACAUUCUUUCAGCAAAUGAAAAUCAAGUUGAGGCCAAAUUCUGUUACUUUGAUAUCUGUGCUUUCUGCAUGUGCUAGAAUUGGAGCCUUGAUGUGUGGGAAAGAGAUUCAUGCCUAUGCAUUGAAGACUGGAGUUGCAUCUGAAGGAUUUCUGCCGAAUGCAAUUUUGGACAUGUAUGUGAGGUGUGGAAGGAUGGUAUCUGCAUUAAAUCAAUUUAAGUUGCAAAACAAGGAUGUUGGGACUUGGAAUAUUUUGCUGAGUGGGUAUGCUCAGCGGGGGCAAGGGGCAAUGGCUGUCGAGUAUUUCAAUAAAAUGAUAAAGUCUAAAAUCAAUCCUGAUGACAUCACAUUUAUUUCUCUAUUAUGUGCUUGUAGUAGAUCAGGAUUGGUAAAAGAAGGUUUGGACUAUUUUAACAAUAUGAAACUGCACCGUGUCAACCCAAAUUUGAAACAUUAUGCCUGUGUGGUUGAUUUACUUGGCCGUGCAGGACAGUUGAAGGAAGCUCAUGAGUUUAUAGAGAAAAUGCCUAUUAAGCCAGAUCCAGCCGUGUGGGGAGCAUUGUUGAAUGCAUGCAGGAUCCACCAGCAGGUUCAGCUUGGAGAACUUGCAGCGCAGCAUAUUUUCAAGGAGGAUACAGGAAGUUUUGGGUAUUACAUUCUCUUGUGUAAUCUCUAUGCUGACAGUGGUAAAUGGGAUGAAGUUGCAAAAGUAAGGAGGAUAAUGAAAGAGGAAGGGCUAAUUGUUGAUCCCGGGUGUAGUUGGGUGGAAGUAAAGGGAAAAGUUCAUGCUUUCCUUAGUGAUGACAAUUUCCAUGCUCAAAUAAAGGAUAUAAAUGUGGUUUUGGACGGAUUUUACAAGAAAAUGGAGACAGCUGGUUUUAACGAUCACAGUUCUGUGGAUGAAUUUGAAACUUCAAGAAACGACAUCUUUUGUGGGCACAGUGAGAGACUGGCCAUUGCAUUUGGCCUAAUUAAUACUGCUCCUGGGACUCCUAUAUUGGUUACAAAGAAUCUCCAUAUGUGCCAAAGCUGUCACAGAAGCAUUGAAUUCAUUUCUAAGUUAGUUCGCAGAGAGAUCUCAGUGAGGGAUACAGAGCAGUUCCAUCAUUUCAGAGAUGGUAUUUGUUCUUGCGGUGGGGAAAGUUGCUGAAAAAAAUUGGUAAGUAGAAGCUUAGAGAAAUUUGAAUAUACAGUCAAAUUCAUCUUCAAGUCGUAGGAGAGAUUGCAAUUGGGGAUACGUAGCAGUUCCAUCAUUUCAAGAAUGUGCAUUCUCUUGCUGUGAUGAAGGUAUUUUCAGUUCUUCAAUUUCUUCAUGCUUCCCAUCUUCAUUUGCAGAUAAGGCUGCUUCAGAUGCUUUAUGUUCCUCCUCUAGAAAUACUCUCAGUUCCUUGUGCAGAGGUGGUGUUGGCCUGGUUCCUGGCAAAUAAAAAAUAGCUUUAUGGUCUACAUCUUCUGACAAGGUAUCAUCCAUUCUUGAUCUCUUCCUUGCAUGUUCCCAUUCAGGCCUUAUCUGUUUCUCAAGCUCAUCUCUCUGUUUGAAUUUCUUGUGGAGAUCUUUCUCUGAUGCAUCACAAAUUGCCUUCUGUGCUUCAAGCCUUGCCAUUAGUGCAUUAGCUGCAGCCUGGUUCAGUCUUACUUGUUCCUUGUAAAUGACGCUCUGGUGCAUAGCAUCUCGAAUCAUCUUCUCUAACAUAGUCCUAUACGAAGAUUGUGCCUCAGCUAGCCGCCUGCACUUUUCUGCCCUUCUCCUACGCUUUAUCAGUGCCAACUCCAAAUCCUGAAUAGCAAGUUUUUCCUCAUCAUUCUUUCUCCUCAUUUCAUUAACUUCGUCAUCUAAUUUCUGUAUUUCAAGUUGCAUCUUGUGAGCUUCUUCUCUUUGCUUCAGAGAAUCCCUGGCCAUGACAAUGGCUUGGUAGGGGUUUGUAACAAAGUCUGGGUUCUCAUUUUCUUUCAAGUCACCUGACUUUACUUUUCUCGCAGCAAUUGCAGGAGAAUGUGGCCUUAUCUGCCUAUUGUAAUCCAGUGAUUUCAAAGCCAAUGAAGUAUCAUAUGUCUCUCUUCGAGAUAUAACAAGGGCAGCCGGAGCAAGGCCUAGUUGCUCUUUUGAUUCAAUGAAAUGAUGGGGAAAAGAAUGUGAAUCCACAGUCUGUGAAGCAUUUAAUUCUUCAUUUUCACCUUCUGAGAACAGAAAUGAAAAUGCCCUAUGCCUGAAAUCCGAACUGGAAGAAGCAAAUAUGGAUAAAAACUGGUUCACAGAAAUUCCAAGCUGAAGAUCCCACCAUGGAACGAGAAACUCUAACUUGUUAUGCUUUCUCUUGCACACUUGCCAUUGAAGUAUCCUCAGAUUACUUGGAACUGUUAAUCCUCCCCCUAAUAUUCCAACAAGCAAGACCACAUAUUUCAAGAAGUACUAAAAUAAAGAGACACAUAUUGACAAAUACUUGAGUUAUUUAGUACUUUGGCAAGGAAACCAGUGGUCAAUGUCCCAAGCAAGAGGAGAGGCUCUAUCAGCAUGGAAAUAUAAAACAUUGCCAUAUGGAUCUACUCGAAUGACUGCAGGAUCAAAACCAGCAUUCCCGAGGUGAUUGAGUUGCUUCCACAAGAGACCAACAAAAAUCUUGGGUUUGGCUGUUGGCUUUGCUUUUGGGUCAGUAAUUGGGAACAUUUGUUCUAAUUCCUUUGCUCUCUGAAUCUGCAAAGCAAAUUACAGCAAAAACCAGCACCAAAAUAGGAUCUAUCAUUAAAAUUCAAUUUAUAUCAUAGCCAGAGUGAAGAAUUAACAGUAAUUUACUUUCUCAAAAGCAAUUUCACGCAAAACCCAUGAUUUGUUUUGAAAUUUUAGAAAUAAACCUUUAAUUUUAAGGCCAACGUAUCCAUAUUCCUUGAUUUAACAAUUAUAUCAUCCUACUAAUUUCACAUUAAAGGUACUAAAGCAUAAAGAACCGAAGCUGGGAUCAUCAAAUCAUUAAUUAACGCUUUCUCACACUUUUUGUUUCAAUUCAUGAACUUUGUCUUCAUUUCAACAAAACUAUAAUCUCUAUACCCAGCAGUUCCUAACCUACAAUUUUAGUCACUUGAGAUGAUUUCUCAGGUCCUACACAUCAAAAUAAACAGAAACACAAAACCUAU
rnacentral:misc_RNA from 1 species